UGAGGAACAUGACCUUCGGCGGGGGUAGCCGGCCCAACGGCCGGGUAAUACCGCGUACGACCACAUGGGGACAUCCCUGAGUGGUGAAAGCAGCAAUGCGCCGAUGGAGUGCCUCGCGGCCUAUCAGCUUGUUGGUGGGGUAUGGCCUACCAAGGCGACGACGGGUAGCCGGCCUGAGGAGGGUCGGACCCGGCCACACUGGGACUGAGACACGGCCCAGACUCCGUAGGGGAGGCAG
rnacentral:rRNA from 1 species